rnacentral:rRNA from 1 species
AUUGAACGCUGGCGGCAAGCUUAACACAUGCAAGUCGAGCGGAGCGAGGGUGCUUGCACCUUAGCUUAGCGGCGGACGGGUGAGUAAUGCUUAGGAAUCUACCUAUUAGUGGGGGACAACAUUCCGAAAGGAAUGCUAAUACCGCAUACGCCCUACGGGGGAAAGCAGGGGAUCUUCGGACCUUGCGCUAAUAGAUGAGCCUAAGUCGGAUUAGCUAGUUGGUGGGGUAAAGGCCUACCAAGGCGACGAUCUGUAGCGGGUCUGAGAGGAUGAUCCGCCACACUGGGACUGAGACACGGCCCAGACUCCUACGGGAGGCAGCAGUGGGGAAUAUUGGACAAUGGGCGGAAGCCUGAUCCAGCCAUGCCGCGUGUGUGAAGAAGGCCUUUUGGUUGUAAAGCACUUUAAGCGAGGAGGAGGCUCUUAAGGUUAAUACCCUUGAUGAGUGGACGUUACUCGCAGAAUAAGCACCGGCUAACUCUGUGCCAGCAGCCGCAGUAACAC